AGUGAACGCUGGCGGUAGGCCUAACACAUGCAAGUCGAACGGCAGCACAGUAAGAGCUUGCUCUUACGGGUGGCGAGUGGCGGACGGGUGAGGAAUACAUCGGAAUCUACUUUUUCGUGGGGGAUAACGUAGGGAAACUUACGCUAAUACCGCAUACGCCCUACGGGUGAAAGCAGGGGAUCUUCGGACCUUGCGCGCUUGACUGAGCCGAUGUCGGAUUAGCUAGUUGGCGGGGUAAAGGCCCACCAAGGCGACGAUCCGUAGCUGGUCUGAGAGGAUGAUCAGCCACACUGGAACUGAGACACGGUCCAGACUCCUACGGGAGGCAGCAGUGGGGAAUAUUGGACAAUGGGCGCAAGCCUGAUCCAGCCAUACCGCGUGGGUGAAGAAGGCCUUCGGGUUGUAAAGCCCUUUUGUUGGGAAAGAAAAGCAGCAGGUUAAUACCCCGCUGUUCUGACGGUACCCAAAGAAUAAGCACCGGCUAACUUCGCG
rnacentral:rRNA from 1 species